AUUUAUAUAGUUUAAUUAAAACAUUAUAAUUUCAGUAUAAAAUUGAAUAUAAUUCUGUAAAUA
rnacentral:tRNA from 1 species